rnacentral:rRNA from 1 species
UACGUAGGGUGCGAGCGUUAAUCGGAAUUACUGGGCGUAAAGGGUGCGUAGGCGGCUUUUUAAGUUUGGUGUGAAAUCUCCCGGCUCAACUGGGAGGGUGCGCCGAAUACUGAGAGGCUAGAGUGUGGGAGAGGAAAGUGGAAUUCCUGGUGUAGCGGUGAAAUGCGUAGAUAUCAGGAGGAACACCGGUGGUGUAAACGGCUUUCUGGACCAUAACUGACGCUGAGGCACGAAAGCGUGGGUAGCAAACAGG